AAGAAUAACCAUGAAAUCAACAAUGCAACACACUCAUCGACAAAUUCAUUUAGAAGGACUGGUUGCAUGCCCUUCAUUCAGAAUUCGCAAACACCAAGAUUCAGAUCAGGGUUCAUAAGGUUCACAGCUUCAGGUAGACAUCACUUAGCUAUCAAAGUAGUAGAAACUAACAACAGAAGAAAAAGCAAACUAAAUUGAUGGAUGGACGAUCAUGGCUGGCUAUCAAUUUUCCUUAUGCUAUAGCAUCCAACCCAUGAGUGGCGUUAACAUCCUAAUAUAUGUGAUAUACUGAACCGUGAAGAAAUUAUAAAUGUAUGAUCAAUGAGGAUGACUUGCAUAAUGUGUGGCAAGAAAAGUUUUGUGCUACGGAGAGAGGUGGAACUGCAUCAUGGACCUGCAAUUGAAAAGCACGUUGUAUCAAGUAACAACUCUUAACCAAAAUUGGAAAUAAAUAAAUUAUAAAUACAAUCUGUACCAGGCCUCGCAAUAUCAUAAUCAUCGUUUAAACAGCACACACAUUGUCUAUACAAAAAAGAGCUAGAACAAAAAUUAAUAUCUGAAACAAAAUUCAAAACCAGAACCUUUGUAUGGCAGGCAAUGAAUAAUUUAUAAAGCAAGAUCUAGCAAGCAAUCUAGCAAUACACGUACAGAGUUUAACGUCAAGUGGUUCAGUUAGGAAGAUCUAGCCAGCAAUCUAGUCCUUGCACGUGAACUGGGAAGAAGAUAAAAACAAAAAAGAGGGAGUGUCAAUCUUUACAUGAACAUAUCAACCAUCCUCAGAUCCCGGCCAACCCCAGCAAGCCUUCGCCGGGAACGCACACGGGCC
rnacentral:lncRNA from 1 species